rnacentral:piRNA from 1 species
UACCCAGGAAUGGUACUCUGCAUCUCACU